GUCUUCCUCGCGAUUUGAUGGAAAAAUUGAUCAUUCCGGAUCAAUUCUUUAGCUUUUUUCUUUGUGCAACGAUAAACAAAGAAAAAUAAAACGAGGAAGUGAAUCAAUUGUUCAGUCGUACGCUGUAUGUUCUUGUUAAUAAUAGAAGAGGAAGCUACAUCUUGAUGGUGGAUGGAGGUGAAUUUUUUCCGAGUCAGUUUCUCAUGCAUGUAGGCAGAUGGCAAAGCUCUAAUAACCAAAACUACUGUUGAGUUAGCCCUGCUGUCUUCUUUUGGUCGUUCUUGCAGACUGUGCUGUGAAAAUGGAUCCAAGAAAGAAGCAAUUGGAGUCAGCAACAUUCAUUUGUGAGUCUGGGUUAGUCUACACCGACUUAAAUGAUUUCUUUUGAUGAGGUGACAACUUGAACCCGGCAAUGACGAUGGCUCUGGCCCUGGCCAAAGAUUUCCCCUGGACCUUACACAGUUAACGCGGCUCGGGAUUUGGCUCACCGGUUAGUCACGUAUUUUGGAGGAUGGGAGCUCGGCGUAUUUAGUUUCAACAUUUUUGUUCCAUAACGGUGUGUGCUACUUUCGCGAAGAACAGUCUAUUGUUCACGAUCAGCUGAUCCCGAUACAAACGGUCUUCCUGCCUUUGACGUUGCCGCUUUGUUCGCUACAAAAGAAUCCCUUUGUUCACAGAUCCUUUGCUACGUUUGCCAGUAUAAACAAGUCGUACAUCUGCCGGAAUGCUGGAACAAGCCAUCGAAUCGCUGACUGACAUUUGGAAUGAUGAACGUGGUCUGAUUGUUGCAAGUGCAGGCGUCGCUGCAAGUCUCUACGUUUUGGCCAGCAAGGUGUACACCCUUUACGAAAAGUCUCAGCUAAGG